UACGAAGGGGGCUAGCGUUGCUCGGAAUCACUGGGCGUAAAGCGCACGUAGGCGGAUUGUUAAGUCAGGGGUGAAAUCCUGGAGCUCAACUCCAGAACUGCCUUUGAUACUGGCGAUCUUGAGUCCGGGAGAGGUGAGUGGAACUGCGAGUGUAGAGGUGAAAAUUCGUAGAUAUUCGCAAGAACACCAGUGGCGAAGGCGGCUCACUGGCCCGGUACUGACGCUGAGGUGCGAAAAGCGUGGGGAGCAAACAGG
rnacentral:rRNA from 1 species